rnacentral:hammerhead_ribozyme from 1 species
AUCUAGCUGACGAGUCCUAAAUAGGAUGAAACGUGUAUCGUAGAU